rnacentral:rRNA from 1 species
CCAAUAGCGUAUAUUAAGGUUGCUGCGGUUAAAAAGCUCGUAGUUGAAUUUCGGGAUUGAUGCAUCGGUCGUGCCUUAAGGGGUAUGAACUGGUGUAGCCAAUUUCUUACCUUCUGGUGAAUUGUGAUGUCCUCCUUAUUAAUUGGGUGUUUCAAUGAACUAGGACUUUUUACUUUGAAAAAAUUAGAGUGUUUAAAGCAGGCAUUAUUUGCUUGAAUACAUUAGCGUGGAAUAAUAAAAUAGGACAAUGAUUCUAUUUUGUUGGUUUCUAGGAUCACUGUAAUGAUUAAUAGGGAUAGUUGGGGGCAUUAGUAUUCAAUUGUCAGAGGUGAAAUUCUUGGAUUAAUUGAAGACUAACUACUGCGAAAGCAUUUGCCAAGGAUAUUUUCAUUAAUCAAGAACGAAAGUUAGGGGAUCGAAGACGAUUAGGUACGUCGUAGUCUUAACCAUAAACUAUGCCGACUAGGAAUCAGACAACGUUAGAUUUUUAAUGACUUGUUUGGCACCUUACG